rnacentral:rRNA from 1 species
AUUGAACGCUGGCGGCAGGCCUAACACAUGCAAGUCGAGCGGAGCGGCGGACGGGUGAGUAUUGCCAAGGAAUAUGCCUGUCAGUGGGGGAUAACGUCCGGACACGGACACUAAUACCACAUCCUAUCAGAUUAGCACAGGUCGGAUUAGAAGGUUGGUGGGGUAAAGGCCUACCAAGGCGACGACCCGUAACGGGUCUGAGAGGAUGAUCAGUCACACUGGAACUGAGACACGGUCCAGACUCCUACGGGAGGCAGCAGUGGGGAAUGUUGGACAAGGGGCGAAAGCCUGAUCCAGCCAUGCCGCGUGUGUGAAGAAGGUCUGCGGAUUGUAAAGCACUUUUAGUAGGGAGGCGUUACCAACAGAAUAAGCACCGGCUAACUCCGUGCCAGCAGCCGCGGUAAUAC